rnacentral:rRNA from 1 species
GAUGAACGCUGACAGAAUGCUUAACACAUGCAAGUCUUUGGCGAAGCUGUGCUUGCACCGCCUAGCCAAGGCGGACGGGUGAGUAACGCGUAAGGAACUUGCCCUGCAGUCAGGGAUAACAGACGGAAACGACUGAUAAGACCUGGUAAAGUCAGGCGGACUCAUGUCCAGCCUGAUGAAAAGAGAUGCUGCAGGAGAGCCUUGCGUCCUAUUAGCUUGUUGGUGGGGUAACGGCCCACCAAGGCGAUGAUAGGUAGCCGGCCUGAGAGGGUGGACGGCCACAAGGGGACUGAGAUACGGCCCUGACUCCUACGGGAGGCAGCAGUGGGGAAUAUUGGACAAUGGGGGCAACCCUGAUCCAGCAAUUCUGUGUGCACGAUGAAGGUUUUCGGAGUGUAAAGUGCUUUCAGCAGGGAAGAAAAAAAUGACGGUACCUGCAGAAGAAGCGACGGCUAAAUACGUG